AUAUAAGUAAAUAUAUAUCAAUUAUUUGUAGUACCUAUGCAGAGUUUGUAAUAGACCAAUCGUUUGUCGUAAAAAUUGAAGACGAUUAUAAUAUUAUCCAAACAUUCCAAACCAAAUUCACAAAAAACAACAAAAUGAUUCAUAAAGUGAUGAACUUUGGCUUUAUGAUAAUAAUAUUUUUUUUUAACCAUACUAUUUAUACUAAUAGAAAACAAAACAUCAGCACCGAUAAAGAUUUCUGCAAUUUUGCACAAAUACAGUAUCUACACUCAACAAAAUAAACAGUACAUUGAUUAACACGUAAAUGAUGCCAAAAAUCUAGA